AAGACUUUAAGUUAAAUUAAUAAACUUACAACCUUCAAAGUUGUUUAUAUCUAAGACAAAUUGGUAAGUCUUA
rnacentral:tRNA from 1 species